CCCUUAGAUGUUCUGGGCCGCACGCGCGCUACACUGAUGCAUUCAACGAGCCUAUCCUUGACCGACAGGUCCGGGUAAUCUUUGAAUCUGCAUCGUGACGGGGAUAGAUUAUUGCAAUUAUUAAUCUUCAACGAGGAAUGCCUAGUAGGCGCAAGUCAUCAGCUUGCGUCGAUUACGUCCCUGCCCUUUGUACACACCGCCCGUCGCUCCUACCGAUUGGGUGUGCUGGUGAAAUGUUCGGAUCGGCCGUUUGUCGCGGUUUCCGCGGCUCGUGGCUGAGAAGUUCAUUAAACCCUCCCACCGAGAGGAAGGAGAAGUCGUACA
rnacentral:rRNA from 1 species